rnacentral:rRNA from 1 species
GGCUGAGAGAUCAGCUGUUCCCUUCGGGGACAGAAUGACAGGUGGUGCAUGGUUGUCGUCAGCUCGUGUCGUGAGAUGUUGGGUUAAGUCCCGCAACGAGCGCAACCCUUAUGAUCAGUUGCCAGCAUUUAGUUGGGCACUCUGGCGAGACUGCCGGUGACAAACCGGAGGAAGGUGGGGAUGACGUCAAAUCAUCAUGCCCCUUAUGACCUGGGCUACACACGUGCUACAAUGGACGGUACAACGAGUCGCGAAACCGCGAGGUCAAGCUAAUCUCUUAAAGCCGUUCUCAGUUCGGAUUGUAGGCUGCAACUCGCCUACAUGAAGUUGGAAUCGCUAGUAAUCGUGGAUCAGCAUGCCACGGUGAAUACGUUCCCGGGUCUUGUACACACCGA